rnacentral:rRNA from 1 species
GACGAACGCUGGCGGCGUGCUUAACACAUGCAAGUCGAACGGAAAGGCCCUGCUUUUGUGGGGUGCUCGAGUGGCGAACGGGUGAGUAACACGUGAGUAACCUGCCCUUGACUUUGGGAUAACUUCAGGAAACUGGGGCUAAUACCGGAUAGGAGCUCCUGCUGCAUGGUGGGGGUUGGAAAGUUUCGGCGGUUGGGGAUGGACUCGCGGCUUAUCAGCUUGUUGGUGGGGUAGUGGCUUACCAAGGCUUUGACGGGUAGCCGGCCUGAGAGGGUGACCGGCCACAUUGGGACUGAGAUACGGCCCAGGCUCCUACGGGAGGCAGCAGUGGGGAAUAUUGCACAAUGGGCGGAAGUCUGAUGCAGCAACGCCGCGUGCGGGAUGACGGCCUUCGGGUUGUAAACCGCUUUCGCCUGUGACGAAGCGUGAGUGACGGUAAUGGGUAAAGAAGCACCGGCUAACUACGUG